CAAACAUUUUAAACCUGAUGAGUUUGACAGGGCGGGGCAGUAUUGCCGGCUCACACCUGGUGUUAUUCCAUCAGUGUUUACCUUCCCGACUCAUCUUAAAAGAGUAGGUACAUUAUUUACAAGGAUGCAGCAACUCAGUUUUAUUGAGUUGAAUUAUUUUCAUGACAAUUUACACUUUUUCUGUUACUUUAUAGACGACCCACUGUGACCCAAUGCACACUUAUUAUUCACCCUACUUGUGUUUGUAUCACUGCUUCCAUGCCAUUAGCAUUUACAUGCUCAUUGUAUGUCAAUUAUGUGUAUGUCUAAGUACUUAAAAUAGUUUUUGUCAUACUUAACGACUUUUACAUGAAUCAUUCAUAAUCACCUACAAUGCUGUGAGAGGCUAAAAAUGUUUGCAUUUUCUUUAAACUUUACACCUGUCUAAGUGUGAGGGUGUCAUCUGGGCAUGUGCACACAAACACACACACACACGUGUGUGUGUGUGUGUGUGUGUGUGUGUGUGUGUGUGUGUGUUUCAAUAUUAGAGUUGCUGGGCUGCUCCUCUUCUUCUGAUUCUUCUGGGACUCCCUCUAGGGCAUUGCCAAAGACACUGUUCUCCAUCCUGGCAAGCUCCAGUAGGGACUUCCCACACAGGAAUAAAGCCUCACCGCACUCGUGUAUAUAUUCCCCUGUGGAAUUAAAAAAGAAGUAUGAAAAUCUAUAUUUCUUGUUUCUGUAGUCUAAAGCAACAAGGACCACAGCAACCUCAAGGCAAGCUAUGGAGAGUCUACACACCUCUCAGUAUGCCACCAAAAAGGAACCUCGGCCUCAUGUUGACCUUGACCACAACUAUUCAUUGCCCAGUUCUCCGUGUGUUUUGAAGGCCAGGAUCAGUGAGGCUACAGCCAGAGUGUUGAGCCUGGAGAAGAAGAAAAGAAAUGUGCAGGUGUGAGAAAAGUGAGCAAAGACCACUAUAAAGGCUCUACUGAGGGUUCUGACAAAGAAGAACCUACUGACUGAGGAGCUUUGUGAGAGGCUGGAAAUAUACUCAGGUAUAAUGAAAGUAUUGCUUACUUAACACCCUUAGUCAGACUAUGUUUUCAGUAUGUAAGGGUACUUACUCAGUUAUGCAAAUGGAAUUUCAGAACUCCCUGUAGCCCUUUUCAAAAAGAGGAAGCACAAUGAGUAUUCAGCGGAGCAGCGAGGGUUUGCCAUCACCCUGCAUCUCCAUGGUCCUAAAGCGUACAGCUUCCUCAGAGACACACUACACCUUCCUCUCACACACUCACGCUCACUCCAAAGGUGUCUCUCUUCUUUGGAUGACAAGCCUGGUCUGAACAUCGUGAUGCUGGACAUGCUGGAGCAGAGACAAAAGGAAGACCCUGCCAAGUAUGGCCGUGUCUCUCUAAUGCUAGAUGCCAUGGCGAUAAAGAGACAUAUUCAGUACAAUGCACACACCAAAGCAAUGUCUGGAUAUGUGGAUAUGGGUGCUGGAAAUAAUGAAACCAAUGUAGCCACUGAGGCUCUAGUGUUCAUGGUUGUUGGCGUACAAGGACACUGGAAAGCUCCAGUUGAUUGUUAUUUUACAAAUUCACUUUCACCAGAAACCCAGAAAGAGCUUCUUGUACAUGCUUUGGAGGAACUCCAUAAGCGGCACAUUAAAGUGUUGUGUUUGACUACGGAUGGUCAUGCCACCAACAUGAGCAUGUGCAACCAAUUUGGUUGUGAGCUGAGGGGAAACCCACAUGGACUGUUGAAAACCAGCUUUCCACACCCAGCUGACCCUUCUCAUGAGGUGUUUGUGAUGAUGGAUGCUUGCCACAUGUUGAAGCUGGCUCACAAUAUGUUGCAGGUAAUGUGAUGAUUUACAUUUUACUGUCUCUGUUUGUGCAAGUAACUACUGACAAUUAAAGAUUCUGUCUGUAGGCAUACAGUCCCAUCAAGAGCACUGUGGGCCAGAUUCAGUGGAGCCACAUUGAUCGGUUGAACACCAUACAGAAAAAAGGACUUCAUGCAGCCAACAGACUGACCGACAAGCACAUAGAUUUUGACAACCACAAAAUGAAGGUGUCCUUGGCUGCACAGACUUUGAGCCGCUCUGCUGCAGUAGCCCUUCACACCCUGAGGGAUCUUGGCUGUGCAGAGUUUCAAAUCUGUGAAGCAACAGCAGAGUUCACUGAGGUAAUGCGACACUGUGGAUAUGUGUUCCUGAAAAAAAUAACUUCUGAUUAUUCUGCAGCAUGUAGAGAGAAUUCAUUUGAUCUGAUACGAUGGACACCCUGUUAAGUGAAACCUUGUAGUUCAUCGGCAUCCCGGACCUAUUUUGCCAAAA